GAAAUGCGAUACGUAAUGUGAAUUGCAGAAUUCAGUGAAUCAUCGAAUCUUUGAACGCACCUUGCGCCCCUUGGUAUUCCGAGGGGCACACCCGUUUGAGUGUCGUGAAUACUCUCAACCUUCUUGGUUUCUUUGACCAGGAAGGCUUGGACUUUGGAGGCUUUUCUUGCUGGCCUUCUUUUGAAGCCAGCUCCUCCUAAACGAAUCGGUGGGGUCCGCUUUGCUGAUCCUUGACGUGAUAAGCAUUUCUUCUACGUCAAGUCAGCUCGGAACCUGCUUUCUAACCUUUGAGUUACAACAUAACUCGACCCUCAUAAACCUUGACCUCAAAUCGGGUGAGACUACCCGCUGAACUUAA
rnacentral:misc_RNA from 1 species